UCAAGUCCAGCUCUUAAAUGAAUUGUUCAUAUGAAUUGUUUCAUAUCAAUUUUUCAAAUGCAUUGUUCAGUUGUGAUCGAAUUCACAACCUUGGUGUUGCUAUCAUCAUGCUCUAGCCAGCUAAUCUCAAGGGGGUAGGAGGUUGCCCAAUAUUAAUAAUUUAUCAUCACAUCAUAUUAUUUAAUGAUUGUUGUUCAGAAUAAACCAUAAAUUUGAAGUGUAGAACAGAAUAAACCACAAAAAUGAAGCGUAGAGCAGAAUUCAAAAGCAUUUUGAUUCUGUGCAACCAUUAUGUUGUCACAGGGCAUAUUUUAAUUUUCUCUCCAUUAACAUCUUCAUUGCUUCUAAAACACAGAAUCCAUACUUUCUUCUCAAACCCCAAACAUUUUGUGCCAGUGUUAGAAUACAUAUUGUAUAAAUCUCUCCAAUCCUCCCUGAUCUAAUGUAGAUGUAAAUAUCUAAUACUUUCACAGUAAAAUGGUGCAUCAGAAUGUAGGAGAUAUUAGGCCAUAAACAUAGAGAGGGCCCAUAGCUAAAGUAUUAAAAAACCUCUCCUUUUCAGUUUCCAAGUUUAAUGCUUUAAAUUUGAGGAGUGCAUUAAUGCUUAGUGUGGGACAGAACAUGCCAUGGGGGACUGUGAAAAUAUUUCAUUUGGAGACAAAUCCCACUGAGGACUUGCAUGUUCCCAAAGCACUGCCCAGCCUCUGCUGUGAGGGGCACACAGCCCGAGACAGAGGUCUGUCCCCGGGGCCUCGGGCAUGACGGGCAGACAAAGAGAGCCGUGCAUGAGUUCCCAGCAGAUCAUAACUUCCUCACUAUCACUGCCUGCAUGUCAACAAAGACUGGGAGCUGUCAGGAUACACUGAACUGGGAAAAAGAGAAACUGGAAGCUGCUGGCAUCCAGCCCAGGCUUCAAACAACACAGCUAUCCUAUGUAUUUUUUUGUGUAUCUGAACAGGGGUUCUGUUUGAGGUCAUCUUUAACAUCUGUGUAUUCACCCAAGGAUCACUCCUAUAUAUAGCACACUUGUUUAUGUUACCCUGAUGUGGCAGAAUCACUCUGCCCAGGAGAUCCACAUCUUUGACUCAUUUUGUCAUUGUUCUUUCCCAGCUCUUGCUCGUAAAGGACAUAUCUGUUGCAAGCUGGUACUCUACUGAAUUUGCAAUUCAUUAUAUAUCAAAUAUUUCUGAAAACAAAAGUCACCGUUUUUAGUCUUUUCAGUUGCACACAGUCUCCAGCUUUGUCCUCCUAUUUUAUUCUCAUUAUAAAAUAAAGUUGACCUGAAGAGAUGGGGAUUACUUAAAAGAAAACCUCUGUGUAUAGGGGAAUGGGAAGGAAAUACCCCAGGAAUAGUUAAUUGGGAACUACAUCUAACACUAAGCCAUUCAGAGUUGCUUCAAGCCAUUUAUAAGUUGCUUUAUUUCCAGAACUUCCAACUCUUACAACUCUUAUAAGCUAUUGCUCGUCCCAACGUAAAAACUCCACGGUUUUUGGUGACUUCCCAGUGAUGGCUCACUGGUUACUGCAGUAUCUCCUGCCAUACAGAAGACAUAGGUCUAAACAAAUAUAGAAUAUAAGGAUAACUCUGGUUUGGGCAGCUGGGUAGAUUCCAUCCUGUGGUUCACCAUGGCCCUCUAGUCCUCCUCAUCAUCAGAAAUUCUAUCUGGCUGGAUGAAGGAAGGUUCAGGGAGUCAUGUGGCCACACUGGGGCUGCUUUGGACCUCAGGAUAAAGAUGAUGCAGUAUAUGUGUGUGGCAAAACAGCAUGAUGUUCACAGAGAUGGUGUCUGGCACCGGUGUUAUCAAUGUAUCAACAAAGGCUGGGGGCCAUCAUUGCAGUGAGGAUGCCUUUACAUGCCAAGCCUCAAGAUAGGAAAGAAUUUGUCCAUCUGCUUCUCUGCUAGGGCUGUCUGGCCCUCCUGAAUGACUGUUUCUUUCUACCUUUCUAAGUCAGCCUUUUUGAGCAGAAAGAGUUGGAGCUAAGCUGUAGCACAACAGAGAGUAGUUACGGCAUUUUGGCAGGGCAAGGAAAAUCUGGCUCACCAGUGUCAAAGGACUAGGAGCUUCUCUGCCUUCUCUGACAAACCUAUGCUGUGGGAACUCCGCACAUCACUCCUGAUGUCCAGAGUUGCCGAGAUAACCCCUGGAGGGCUCGGAAAUCCUGGAAUGUUGCCAGAAGUGCUUAGUGGUUGGGUCUUGACCCUGCACAGGAUGUACCACCUGUAUGAGGACAAGAGGAUGACUUGGGGAUAAGUGGUGAAGGAAUUGAUUAUUCACAGGGUGAAAACACUGGUUUUGGGAUUUUGGUACAGGGGGGAUUUUAGGAGACAAGAUGGAGGAAUUAGGGCAUGUCUUGUCCUUCUCCUCUUCUUCUUGUCAUCCAUCUUUGGUGGUGAUGUUGGCACUUUGGCAUUGGUCCACGUUAAAUCUGCACUUGUUAAUAAGGGUAAAAGGUAUUGGAAGGUAAAGGUAAAUAUCUUAUACGUAGUUUUUAGUAUAAAAAUAGACGACCGCCCAGAGGGAGGUCAGUGUGCCCAUGGCUGUCUUGCUGGGCACACCUCUGUCAGGCUGGGAGACGACUUUGUAGAUAAGAAUUAAUAAACAAUAUUGAAGACCGAAAAAUCUGAAGAGUGCACUCGUCCUUUGGAGUGCGGGUUGUCCCAAGGCCAUUCUACGCCUAACUGGGCAGAGACAACAGGCUGAGAAACAGAGACUUAUGCCUGCACAGUGUAGGAACAUACAUAUCUACACCUGGGAUCUAAGCUGCACUCAAGGCUGUAUCCAGGUGCUUGAACUGGAAGGAGCAGACACAGAAGGAUCUCAGCAGACUUACAGGACAUUUCAGACAGGAAUAAAAAUUUUGGCAGGUUUCUCCAGUGAGGAGCAUCAAUUUAGACAGGGGAAAAAGUUGCUGUGGCAAGCAGCCUGCUGCAAAGGUCUGCAGAGAAAAGCAGAAUCACAGAGCACAUUUGAGCAAAACAGAUGGGAACGCUGGUGAAUGCCUAAAGCUGUGAGGUUCAGGGCCUGCUAGAAACAAGCUGUUCUCAUGCAGAAAGGUCCCUGGUGAAGCUGUCAAGUCCUGUUCUGUUAUUCUGAACCAGAAAAGUCAAUGUUUGCUCAUCCUGGCUCAGCUUCAGCAAAAUCAUCAUAAUAGUUUCCUGUGUGGUCUGAGAUGAAAAAAAUAGCAGCUCAAAAUGGUUUUCUGUUCAGAUUCAGUUCAGUGCCCUCUCCAAAAGGCACUCUGGAGGAACCACUCAUUCUCAGAGCAUACUGGUGUGCCUGGAUGGUAAGAGGGAAGGUUUUAAUCACUCUGUGGAUUUUGAUCUCAAUUUUGCCUGAGCUUUGUUGUACCUACCAUUGUGCAAAUCACUUUGUCACUGCUCCCUACUCACUCAGCAACUUCACUGGGAUGAGCAGGUGGGUCACAACUUGAUUCCUGGUAGGUGAAGACCCAUCUUUACAAAAUCACUGCUGUGCUUGUACCUUCACAGAACUAAAUAGGCCACUGGCUGACUAGGUCAUGGAAAUGGGCUUCUUGCCCUCAAAAAGGACCCUGGAGAUUAGGGUUGCAACACGUCAGCAUGUGCUGUUGGCAGUAGCCACUGCUAUAGCUAAUCUUUUAACACGUGGAAGAUAUCAGGCUCCAGGAUCAUCAAUCAAACAUUCAUUUAUUUUAAUGAAAGGAAGGAACAAAGGCUCCAGUUUCCCUGGAAGAGGAUGAAGAAAAGCUUGAACUAAUGCCAGGCUAAAAAUUAUUAAAGUGAGACUGUCCCUUUCCCUUUCUCUGUAGAUAGGUGUGCUGCCAGUUCCUGGGCCCCAGACCCUUCAUUCACUGGAGCAAAACAGCCAUCUUCUGUGCUAUUCUUUGUGCAACAAAUGCAGUGUUUAGACCAAGGUCAAGCUGGAAUUAGUGCUUGUCCCCUUGAGGGAUAACACCGCUGGAUUAUGCCAGAGCCUGUCUGCACUGGGUGAAGUUCCUCUGCUGGAUUAUCCCUUCCCAUCCUGUCUGACUCCUUGCCCUGUGACCCUCAGCCUAUUCAUGCAGUGUCCUUAGGGCUCCUGCAGUGCUGGGAUCCAGCUGGCAGCUUACCCAGAGCUGCUCUGGUGGGGUUUUUGCUGGGCUGCUCUCCUCUGCCUCGCUCCCACCCUAAAGCCACAUGCUUUCAUGCUUAAUGUACACACAGGCACAGCACAUAUGGACCUGUACAACAAUCUGUUUUAUCAGCCUGCACGUUUUCAUACAUUGAGGGUUUACACUCCCAGCUGCCAUGGUUACAGCCUGACUUCACUGGCAGGGAAUUAGACUACUGAAUGUCUCCUAGACUGUGAAGGCAUUUGAAAGGCAGCUGCUUUGCAGUGAGGAAAUUUAUUUUGUGUAGAAGGAGGCAAAAUUAUCAAGUUAUCCAUUUUAUCUCAUUUUGGGCCAAAUCUCCCCAAAUUAAAGCCUUAAAAAUCCUUGUGCACAUGCAACAAAUGAGAGAAUUUGGACCACAAUAUUCAAGGCUGUUGCUGUAGAUAGGGUGACAGAAGCUCUCUGGUUAUGUUGCAAUGUACCAUAAAGCAGUCCCUUUCAGCUGUGUUUGGGCAGUAGAACACUGCUUCAUUUUAUAGUGAGGAUUCCCCUUUGAUUUACAGCUAAACUUGUUCCAUUGCUGUCAGUGAGCUGUUCCAAAAGAGGCUUUAUUUUCUCUUCUGCGUCCUGCAGUGGCUCUUUCUUACUUACCUGAUUUCAAUAAUUAUCACACAGUCUUUCAUUUUAGCUUAUUUUACUUCUUUCAAAAUAACCUGUGAAAUAAUAGGCAGUCCACUCGGGAAGUGCAUUUCUUCCAUCAUUUGUUGUACUUCAUUUUCUCUUUUGUAAGCAAUUUUUUAUUUCCAAAAAUUUAAGAAAUGACACAUAGAAUUAGUUAAAACUAUUCUGAUACUUUGUAUCCAUAUAUUACCCCUAUUAAUUGCUUCAGGAAAUCUGCUACAGUAUCACUAGUCAAGACUAAAUAGUGACUGUUACAUGCAAUUAUGUCCUUCCACCUUUUUCCCUGCAUUUCUGAGGAAUUAGUUGUGCCUAGCACAAUAUACCUCACAGUGUAUUCUCUCAGUCACUUCCUCUGCCUCUGUGUGGAUUUUUUUUCCCCUAUGAAAUUUUCAUUUCCUUUCUGUAUGCCACCAAAUUCCUGGCUGUAGUGACUGCUGCAGUGGCUGCCUGGGUUCUUCUUUUCUUCUCUCUGAGACGCGAACUGGACUUUAAAGCACACUACUAACCUUUUCAGUCUGAUGUUAAUCUGGGCCAAGUUUCCCCCUCAGAAUUACUGCAUGUAUGUGACAGCAAUAAGAUUAAGUUCAUGGUACUCAAAACUGCUCUACAGAUUUACAGAGCCUCUGUGGCAGUCAUCCAAUGUUCAGUAAUAAUGUAAUGGUUUUGGAUAAUUUCCUGGUUUAUCUUAAGCAUCUUCAUUCUGAUCUUAAUAGCCUCAGUCUCCCCUGUACAGAAACUUUCUGCUCCUAGGCAUAUUUGUUACUUAACUCUGGUAAGUCCUCUGUGGCUCUUUUGGAGGUGAAUACAGUAUUACAGGCAACUGUGUGCCAUUGAUUCAUAUAAUGCUUCUAUAAAGUUCAAUGCAUUAUUUCUCAUUCUGACAUAAUAAACACAUUUUUAAGUCUUAGGAAAUGAGUAGGUAAUGCAAUACUCAAGUCUUCUAGUCAUCCAUCACAGAAAUUGCCAUGCAUAAAAGAAGCCCAUUGUUUCAUUUGCAGUUCAUCCAUUCUGUCCUUUGGUCCCAUCAGGACUUUUGGUGUGUCUGUUAUCCAGCCUUGGUGGCUUUUUUCUCUCUUAUUUGCUCCUUCAGAGCUUCUGGUUUCUAGCAUAUUAUCUUUAUUGUCUGAAGAGGCUAAUGCCAGACUCAAUGCUGUUCAUUUAGCCAAAGGCCAAGAUGAUGAAGUUUUUCUGCAGCCAGGUCCCUUAACCAUGCUCCAUUGGAAAAGUGGAAACAUUGGAAGCAGCCAGCUGUUUUCAGAAGCACCAUGAAUAAAUAGAUUACAGAAGCAUUUUAUCCAAAGGAAGGAGGGAUGAGAGGAAUUACCACUAACACAGGGAGUCUUCUCUAAUCUGUGAUAAAAACUUGGUUAUUCCUGAAUCUCUUUGAUUGUUUUGUGCUCCUUGUCAUUGUAGUGAACGUCUGAAUCAAAACAAGCACCAACAGCUCCAGCUGCAGCUUGUUCUGCAGCAAGGCACACUGUGCAAUCUAUGGAUGACUGAAGCCUAAAGCUACACAUGAAGUAUCACUGAGAUGGAUUUACACUACUCCUGUGCAGCUCUCACAGUGGGGAAAAAAGAUAUGGAAAGCUGUUAAACUAGUGCUAAACAAAACUUUAAAGGAAUGCACUUACUCCUCAGUGUGAAUUCUUGUCCUAAUGUAAACACUGGAAAAACUCUCCCUGAAUUAUCCUGGAUUUAACCACAGAACCCUGGAAUAUUCAUGUGAAUAAAAAUGGGAUGAGUCAAAGAAGGAUCCUGGCCAAGGUGAUACAGCCUGCCUUACCAAGUGGUGGGUAGACAGGCUUUACAGACAAAGUGUUCACUUUUGGUGUUUAUUUUAAUGUAUAUUUAAAAUUGCUUUGGAAAGGAAAGGAUGGAAGUAGACAGGCUUUCACCUUAUCUGAGUUAUAAUCUGGACCUGAUUGUAUAUUAAUCAGGGUAAAUCAAUUGUGGUGAUUGGAGCUGUUCCACAGCUCCAAUGACCACGAUUGACUUACCCUGAUUAACAAGGAAACACUGCAGCUGAGUCUGUAUCAUAGCCCUGACCUCAGCCAAAACCUCUCCCUGGCAUGUGCUCAGGUGUGCUUUCAUGGUGCCUGCCCUGAAUAUUUGCAGGCAGGAACAGCAGCCUGAACUGCUCCCAAGUUGUGAGGGAGAGCCAAGGUGCAUUAUAUCAUACUUUAGUAAUUCAACCAAGAGGCACUUCUACCAACUCUCUGAAUUUCUCUUUUCCCUCUUCUUCUGGAAAGAAAGAAAAUUUCUAUUGUACCAAGUCCUAAUCACAUUUUGUGGCUUUUCUGGAUUGCUCAAAUGGCCUGUUGGCCUGAGUGAGUUGGGGAAUAAAGUAUUAUUAAAAACGUAAAAAUUAAUCCCAGCAGUCUAGUCAGAAAAAAGAUGUUUGAUCAAUACUUUUCCCAAUACCCUGCACACAAAUGCUCCAUCAAUAGCUGUCGCACUGGUAUAUAAAGUAUUUUUGUGGGAAUGUGUAGGUUUGUGUCGACCUUUGUAGAGUCUAAAGAUUCUGCGCAACCAGUGAGUUGCUAUCUAUGUAAACAGAUGUUUUGCAGAGAAAAAUCUAUGAUCAUUACUUGUCUUCCAUUCUAUGUGGCCUAGGAUUUCACAAUAAUCUUUAACUCUACUAGCUAGCACUUACCUUCAAGAAAAUCUUCCUGACUCAAAGCCCUCAGCAAAGGAGAGACUAUGACACAUCCAGUCAAAAGGUUGACAUCCCUUUGCAACACAUACAAUGAGCACUAUGCAGCAUAUAUUAGUUGCAUAUUAUCUUUAAACUGAAUUUUCCUCAAGAUUGAUUUCUGGUAAUGAGAUGCAAUGAAGCAGCUGGGCUAGGAUUAAGCCCAUACUGCUUUGGGCAGAAGCACAUCGUUACAUGCAGGCAGGAAUCUGGAAUCUUAGCUCUGCCUACAAAUUCUUCAUGAUGCAGUGCUUAACUGCUGAAAAUGUUGCAAGGAAUCCUGAAGAUCCUGGGAGUAUGGUGUCCAUGACUGAAUAAACCAAGCAUUUUUUUUUGCCAUAGCAGUGCCAUUCAAGCAGACUUCCUGGAAAGUCUGAGGCAGCAUAUGUUAAUGGCAGAGGCAGACAUUUGGUCCAGCAUCUGGCUGGCAUCCUUUCAUUUGUUCAUUUGUUUUGUGCAAUGUGAGGUCCUUUUCACUUUUUUAAUCAGCAGCUAUAUAAAUUAAUCCUGGCUUAGUGCUUGAGAUGUAGUGUACUGUAAAAUUAAUAUAUCAUUCUGUAGGAGACUAACAUUCCCUCUGAUUCAGUUUAUCUUCUUUUCUUUUGUGCAGGAACAUCUUUGAGGACAUUUUAGCACUGAGAGAUGGGAAAGGAGAGAGCAUCAGCCCUGGUGACUGAUCCAGAAUUAUGGGACAUGUCAGUAACACCUGAACUGCUGUUGCAGAACUGGGUCACUGAUGCAUAAACCAAAUGAGUAUAGAGGAAAAGAGGACCACAGUGAUGGAAAUGAGAACAACCACCCUCGCAGGUCAUGGACUUCUAAAGGGGAAUAUUUCCAAAUGGAAAAUGGACUAAACUCCGCUCAGAGAGAGCUCUCUCUGGUAUGGAAAGAAUGAAUAAACUAUGAUACAUGUCCUCCAGUACACUGUAACUUCCAAGUGAGCUAACAACAUGGUUUCCUAUAAUUGCUUCACAUCAGAUUUCUCCUCAGGUAUAUCAAUGGGAUUAAGAAAUUGUAACAUCACAAGGAUGUUGUCACAUCAGGAGAUCAAGCAAGUUGCUUUUUUACCUCCUUUCCAGUUCAGGUUAAUCUGGAGCCAAAAUCGUUCCUGUUCAGUUUCAGUUCAGAUCACUAACAAUUCUUUAACCUCUUGCACCUGACUCACAACAGUCAGUUGCUGGAAAGGAUUCCGUGGAGCAGAGCUUGAGGCACAGAAAAUAUUAUCUAUCUUCCCUUGCUAAAUAGCUGAAGUAAGUUUUGAGAGGGUCUGGUUCUAGUUGACGUACCACAAGCCUCCAAAACUACACUCCAAUUCUGGUUCAAAAGAAAAACCACAUUUUUAGGUGGCUUUUGGUUGGGUUCCCAUCUGCAUUGCCAGCAAGUAUGGUGUCUUAGUCACCUGCUGUAAGAAGUGAUGGGUGCUACAAACACAAAACUCCUAAUCACUCAUUUACUCAAUGUCUCUGGUGAAAUGUGUUUAUUUGAUUCCUUGCAUUUGCAAUUCCUUAGUCCAGUUAAUUGUAUUUGAAACAGUCAAUAAAGCUUCUGUAACUUA